rnacentral:tRNA from 1 species
AGGGAUAUAGCUCAGUGGCACAGCACCUGCCUGACAAACUCAAGGUUCCAAGUUUGAUUCCUGGCAUCCCCA